rnacentral:lncRNA from 1 species
CUUUCAAUUUAUUUUGAGCCCCAGAGCACUUUAGCCCACAGUGGUGAGGCUUGCAAAAACUCAAGUUCUGACUGCUGGCAUUGGCAGUUUCCCUCUGGCUAAGGGUGGUUGAAAUGCAUCCUCUGUGGUCUGGCGUCAGCUGAGUUUGGUCCAGUUUUUCUUUCUGCUAUAACAAGGGCAGCACUGAGUUCAAUGCCUCACAGUUGCUGGCUCUCCCUCUCCCCAGGGCACAGAAACGCUCUUCAGACCAUACUCCUACUGCCAGGGGAUGGAGAAGGCAUGGUGUCAGCAAUUCAAGACUGUUUUUCCUACCUCUUCAGUGUCUCUUUCGGCAAAAUGAAGUGAAAAUCAGGAACAAGAUGUCUCCAGAGUUAAAUACAUGAAUUAAAUGCAAUUUCAAUGGAUGUCCCAAUGUUUUAAAUUGAAUAACAUGACUUUAAAGAAGAUAUGGGAAACUUCAACUCCCAGAAAAAUGAAGUAGAUACAUACUUCUCUAUUCCUUCCACUAAGUACAACUGAAAACCGUGACACUAUAUAUAAAACAAACAUAAGAAGACUCUGAAAGGCAAGAAUGGGUUUUCUUUUGCCUCCUUUAUUCCAGACUUGUAACUGAAGAAGCCAUCAACCAAGAAAUUUCCAACAGACCCAGAUGGAAAAAGUCCCAGUGAAAGCCUGUUCUUUAGCCAAAGGGGCCAGAAAAGAGCAAGAUAGCAGGACAAGUGUCAUUGAGGAGAAUUUGCCUAGGAGAUGCAAAGAGAGAGAAGCCUAUACUUUGAGGGUGGAAGCCCCUCCAACAGAUCUCUGCCAUCAUGUGAGAGAGAGCCUGAGUUAGCCUGCUGGAUGGUCAAAGAUGAGUGGUGCAGCUAAGUGAAAGCCUGCUGACUUGUAGACAUAUGAGUAAGGCCAUGCUUGAUCACCUGGCUGCCAGCUGGCCUGCCAACUAAUUGCAGGUACUUGAAAGAGUCCAGCAGAGAUCAGCCACCCCAGGUCAAAUAAACACCCAGCCCCCUCCCUGAGAAUGAUGAACUAAAUAAAUGUCUUAAGUACUAAGUUUUGGGUGUUUGCUACAUAGCAAAAGCUAAUUGAUACUGUUCCCAAGGAGUGGAAAACUUCUGUAACAAAAAACAAAAAAUUCUGGCAUUGGUUUUGGGAUUGGGCAAUGGGUAGAGGCUAGAAAAAUGGCAAGGAAGCUGCCAUAGCAACCUAGAAAAAUGGCAACCCAUGCUAUAAAAUAGGGCAAUUGGUCAAUAAUUUUUGAAGUGGUUUGUUAUGCAGCAAUAGCCUACUGAUACACCAUGUGAAUUAUAGCAAGGAAUAGCUAAGGCAAAACAAAACAUUGGAUGAGUAGCAUAGUUCAUUCUAAAGAACCACUAAGGCUUGCUCAGGAAUAUGUACUAAUUCAGGUGGCAUCUGUUAACUAUCACUGAGCAUAAUAUUGGAGGAUAAAUCUGCUUUGCUUAUUGCCACCCCCGUAGCUUAGAAGCUACUCCUAAAACAGCAAGGAUGUCACUGUGGCAGUGGGCAAGGAUUAAUUCCCUCAUUUAUUUAUUCAUUUAUUAAUUCAACAAA